rnacentral:rRNA from 1 species
GACGAACGCUGGCGGCAUGCUUAACACAUGCACGUCGAACGAAGUGGCGAACGGGUGAGUAACGCGUAAUCAACCUGCCCUUCAGAGGGGGACAACAGUUGGAAACGACUGCUAAUACAGCAUCCUGAAGGAGGGGAUUGCGACGGAUUAGCUAGUUGGAGGGGUAACGGCCCAACAAGGCGAGGAUCAGUAGCCGGUAGGAGAGGAUGAACGGCCACAUGGGGACUGAGACACGGCCCAGAUGCCUACGGGAGGCAGCAGUGGGGAAUCUUCCGAAAUGGACGAAAGUCUGACGGAGCAACGCCGCGUGAGUGAUGACGGCCUUCGGGUUGUAAAGCUCUGUUAAUCGGGACGCGGUACCGGAAUAGAAAGCCACGGCUAACUACGUGCCAGCAGCCGCGGUAAUUC